GAUGAACGCUGGCGGCGUGCCUAAUACAUGCAAGUCGAGCGAACGGACGAGAAGCUUGCUUCUCUGAUGUUAGCGGCGGACGGGUGAGUAACACGUGGAUAACCUACCUAUAAGACUGGGAUAACAUCGGGAAACCGGAGCUAAUACCGGAUAAUAUUUUGAACCGCAUGGUUCAAAAGUGAAAGACGGUCUUGCUGUCACUUAUAGAUGGAUCCGCGCUGCAUUAGCUAGUUGGUAAGGUAACGGCUUACCAAGGCAACGAUGCAUAGCCGACCUGAGAGGGUGAUCGGCCACACUGGAACUGAGACACGGUCCAGACUCCUACGGGAGGCAGCAGUAGGGAAUCUUCCGCAAUGGGCGAAAGCCUGACAGAGCAACGCCGCGUGAGUGAUGAAGGUCUUCGGAUCGUAAAACUCUGUUAUUAGGGAAGAACAUAUGUGUAAGUAACUGUGCACAUCUUGACGGUACCUAAUCAGAAAGCCACGGCUAACUACGUG
rnacentral:rRNA from 1 species